CAGCCGCCACGGUAACACGUAGGGUGCAAGCGUUAAUCGGAAUUACUGGGCGUAAAGCAUGCGCAGGCGGUUCUAUAAGACAGAUGUGGAAUCCCCGGGCUCAACCUGGGAACUGCAUUUGUGACUGUAGAGCUGGAGUGCGGCAGAGGGGGAUGGAAUUCCGCGUGUAGCAGUGAAAUGCGUAGAUAUGCGGAGGAACACCGAUGGCGAAGGCAAUCCCCUGGGCCUGCACUGACGCUCAUGCACGAAAGCGUGGGGAGCAAACAGGAUUAGAUACCCCCGUAGUCCCUGUCUCUUAUAA
rnacentral:rRNA from 1 species